rnacentral:misc_RNA from 1 species
GAUGAAGAACGCAGUGAAAUGCGAUACGUAAUGUGAAUUGCAAAUUCAGUGAAUCAUCGAGUCUUUGAACGCACAUUGCGCCCCCUGGUAUUCCGGGGGGCAUGCCUGUCCGAGCGUCAUUACUGCCCUCAAGCCCGGCUUGUGUGUUGGGCCCCGUCCUCCGAUCCCGGGGGACGGGCCCGAAAGGCAGCGGCGGCACCGCGUCCGGUCCUCGAGCGUAUGGGGCUUUGUCACCCGCUCUGUAGGCCCGGCCGGCGCUUGCCGAUCAACCCCAAUUUUUUAUAGGUUGACCUCGGAUCAGGUAGGGAUACCCGCUGAACUUAAGCAUAUCAAUAAGCGGAGGA